rnacentral:rRNA from 1 species
AAAUUGAAGAGUUUGAUCAUGGCUCAGAUUGAACGCUGGCGGCAGGCCUAACACAUGCAAGUCGGACGGUAGCACAGAGGAGCUUGCUCCUUGGGUGACGAGUGGCGGACGGGUGAGUAAUGUCUGGGGAUCUGCCCGAUAGAGGGGGAUAACCACUGGAAACGGUGGCUAAUACCGCAUAACGUCGCAAGACCAAAGAGGGGGA